GAUGAACGCUGGCGGCGUGCUUAACACAUGCGAGUCGAACGAAGCACUUUAUUUGAUUUCCUUCGGGACUGAUUAUUUUGUGACUGAGUGGCGGACGGGUGAGUAACGCGUGGGUAACCUGCCUUGUACAGGGGGAUAACAGUUGGAAACGGCUGCUAAUACCGCAUAAGCGCACAGCAUCGCAUGAUGCAGUGUGAAAAACUCCGGUGGUAUAAGAUGGACCCGCGUUGGAUUAGCUAGUUGGUGAGGUAACGGCCCACCAAGGCGACGAUCCAUAGCCGACCUGAGAGAGUGACCGGCCACACUGGGACUGAGACACGUCCCAAACUCCUACUGGAGGCAGCUGUGGUGAAUAUUGCACAAUGGGCGAAAGCCUUAUGCAUCGACGCCGCGUGAGCGAAGAAGUAUUUCGGUAUGUAAAGCUCUAUCAGCAGGGAAGAUAAUGACGGUACCUGACGAAUAAGCACCGGCUAAAUACGUG
rnacentral:rRNA from 1 species